rnacentral:rRNA from 1 species
AAAGCGUCCGUAGCCGGCUAUGUUAGUUUUCGGUUAAAUCCAUGUGCUCAACACAUGGGCUGCCGAAAAUACUGUAUAGCUAGGGAGUGGGAGAGGUAGACGGUACUCGGUAGGAAGGGGUAAAAUCCUUUGAUCUAUCGAUGACCACCAGUGGCGAAGGCGGUCUACCAGAACACGUCCGACGGUGAGGGAUGAAAGCUGGGGGAGCAAACCGGAUUAGAUACCCGGGUAGUCCCAGCUGUAAACUAUGCAAACUCAGUGAUGCAUUGGCUUGUGGCCAAUGCAGUGCCGCAGAGAAGUCGUUAAGUUUGCCGCCUGGGAAGUACGUACGCAAGUAUGAAACUUAAAGGAAUUGGCGGGGGAGCACCACAAGGGGUGAAGCCUGCGGUUCAAUUGGAGUCAACGCCAGAAAUCUUACCCGGAGAGACAGCAGAAUGAAGGUCAAGCUGAAGACUUUACCAGACAAGCUGAGAAGUGGUGCAUGGCCGUCGCCAGCUCGUGCCGUGAGAUGUCCUGUUAAGUCAGGUAACGAGCGAGAUCCUUGCCUCUAGUUGCCACCAUUACUCUCAGGAGUAGUGGGGCGAAUUAGCGGGACUGCCGCAGUUAAUGCGGAGGAAGGAGGGGGCCACGGCAGGUCAGUAUGCCCCGAA